AUUGAACGCUGGCGGCAGGCCUAACACAUGCAAGUCGAACGAGUGGCGGACGGGUGAAUAAUCUCGGGGAAAUUCCGUGAUGGCGGGGGAAACCUACUGGACACUGUAUCUAAUACCCCAUACCAGCCGGUGUUCCCAGAUGGGAGUAGCUUGUGGGGGGGGUAACGGCUCAACAAGGCGACUCUCCCUCGCUGGGCUGAGAGGAUGACCAGCAACGCGGGAACUGGGACACGGUCGAGACUCCUACGGGAGGCAGCAGUGGGGAAUAUUGCACAAUGGGCGCAAGCCUGAUGCAGCCAUGCGGGGUGUAUGAAGAAGGCCUUCGGGUUGUAAAGUACUUUCAGCGGGGAGGCGUUACCCGCAGAAGAAGCACCGGCUAACUCCGUGCCAGCAGCCGCGGUAAUUC
rnacentral:rRNA from 1 species